CCUACGGGAGGCAGCAGUGAGGAAUAUUGGUCAAUGGUCGGGAGACUGAACCAGCCAAGCCGCGUGAGGGAUGAAGGUACAGAGUAUCGUAAACCUCUUUUGUCAGGGAACAAAGGCGGGGACGUGUCCCCGGAUGAGUGUACCUGAAGAAAAAGCAUCGGCUAACUCCGUGCCAGCAGCCGCGGUAAUACGGAGGAUGCGAGCGUUAUCCGGAUUUAUUGGGUGUAACGGGGGCGCAGGCGGUCUGUUAAGUCAGCGGUAAAAGCCCGGGGCUCAACCCCGGCCCGCCGUUGAAACGGGCAGUCUCGAGUUGGAGAGAAGUAUGCGGAAUGCGCGGUGGAGCGGUGAAAUGCAUAGAUAUCGCGCAGAACUCCGAUUGCGAAGGCAGCAUGCCGGCUCCACACUGACGCUGAGGCACGAAAGCGUGGGUAUCGAACAGGAUUAGAUACCCCUGUAGUC
rnacentral:rRNA from 1 species